rnacentral:rRNA from 1 species
GACGAACGCUGGCGGCGUGCUUAACACAUGCAAGUCGAACGGUAAGGCCCUUCGGGGUACACGAGUGGCGAACGGGUGAGUAACACGUGGGUGAUCUGCCCUGCACUUCGGGAUAAGCCUGGGAAACUGGGUCUAAUACCGGAUAGGACCACUGCCUGCAUGGGUGGUGGUGGAAAGCUUUUGCGGUGUGGGAUGGGCCGGCGGCCUAUCAGCUUGUUGGUGGGGUGAUGGCCUACCAAGGCGACGACGGGUAGCCGGCCUGAGAGGGUGACCGGUCACAAUGGGACUGAGAUACGGCCCAGACUCCUACGGGAGGCAGCAGUGGGGAAGAUUGCACAAUGGGCGCAAGCCUGAUGCAGCGACGCCGCGUGAGGGAUGACGGCCUUCGGGUUGUAAACCUCUUUCAGCUAUGACGAAGCGCAAGUGACGGUAGUAGCAGAAGAAGGACCGGCCAACUACGUGCCAGCCGCCGCGGUAA